rnacentral:rRNA from 1 species
AGGACGAACGCUGGCGGCGUGCUUAACACAUGCAAGUCGAGCGAGGCCCUCUCCUUCGGGAGAGUGUCCUAGCGGCGAACGGGUGAGUAACACGUGGGCAACCUGCCCCUAGCAUUGGGAUAAGCCCGGGAAACCGGGUCUAAUACCGAAUACGAUCUCGGAAGGCAUCUUCUGAGAUGGAAAAGGUUACUGGCUAGGGGAUGGGCCCGCGGCCUAUCAGCUUGUUGGUGGGGUAAUGGCCUACCAAGGCGACGACGGGUA